rnacentral:rRNA from 1 species
GUCUAUGGCCAUAUCACCCUGAACAAGACUGAUCUCAUCUGAUCUUGGAAGCUAAGCAGGGUCAGGCCUGGUAGUACUUGGAUGAGAGAUUAAUUAUUAGACCAGAUUAAUAUUACUG